GGACAUAACAUAAAAGUGGAGGCUAUUGUAACUGAAGAGAACUGGAAAGUUCCACCGUAGAAGGUAAUAGUCCUGUAAGUGAAACGAGAAGACCACGAGUUAUGAUCCAGAGUACCACGAGACACGUGAAACCUUGUGGGAAGCAGGGAGGACCACCUCCCAAGGCUAAAUACUACCUGAUGACCGAUAGUGAAGCAGUACCGUGAGGGAAAGGUGAAAAGAACCCCGGGAGGGGAGUGAAAUAGAACCUGAAACCGUGUGCCUACAACCGCUCAGAGCCCCUUAUGAGGGUGAUGAGGUGCUUUUUGUAGAACGAGCCAACGAGUUACGGUAUGUAGCAAGGUUAAGUACUUAAGGUACGGAGCCGAAGGGAAACCGAGUCUGAAUAGGGCGACUAGUUGCAUGCCGUAGACCCGAAACCGGGUGACCUAUCCAUGGCCAGGUUGAAGCGAGGGUAAAACCUCGUGGAGGACCGAACCACGUUGCUGUUGAAAAAGCAUGGGAUGAGCUGUGGAUAGCGGAGAAAUUCCAAUCGAACCCGGAGAUAGCUGGUUCUCUCCGAAAUAGCUUUAGGGCUAGCGUCGAGUAUGAGUAGUGGAGGUAGAGCACUGAAUGGGCUAGGGGGCAUAGCGCUUACCGAACCUUAUCAAACUCCGAAUGCCACAUACUUUGAGCUCGGCAGUCAGACUACGAAUGAUAAGAUCCGUGGUCAAAAGGGAAACAGCCCAGAUCGUCAGCUAAGGUCCCAAAGUGUAAGUUAAGUGGGAAAGGAUGUGAGAUUUCUAAGACAACUAGGAUGUUGGCUUAGAAGCAGCCAUUCAUUAAAAGAGUGCGUAAUAGCUCACUAGUCGAGAGAUCUUGCGCCGAAAAUGUAACGGGGCUAAACUUACCACCGAAGCUACGGGCUUGAACUUAGUUCAAGCGGUAGGAGAGCGUCGUAACCGGGCUGAAGUCGUACCGUAAGGAGCGGUGGACUGGUUACGAGUGAGAAUGUUGGCAUCAGUAGCGAGAUGUGGGUGAGAAUCCCACAGGCCGAAAACCUAAGGUUUCCUCAGGAAGGUUCGUCCGCUGAGGGUUAGUCGGGACCUAAGCCGAGGCCGAAAGGCGUAGGUGAUGGACAACUGGUUGAUAUUCCAGUACCACUACCAUCGUUAUUAUCGAUGGCGUGACGCAGGAGGAUAGUGUGUGCUAGCUAUUGGAUGCUAGUCUAAGCGUUUAGGCAGUGAGAGUAGGCAAAUCCGCUCUCAUAAUGCUGAGGCGUGAUGGGGAAGGUUCUACGGAACCGAAGUACAUGAUUCCACGCUGCCAAGAAAAGCGUCUAGAGAGAGAAGUAGUGCCCGUACCGCAAACCGACACAGGUAGGUGAGGAGAGAAUCCUAAGGCCGGCGGAAGAAUUACAGUUAAGGAACUCGGCAAAUUGACCCCGUAAGUUCGCGAGAAGGGGUGCCUACGAGAGUAGGCCGCAGAGAAUAGGCCCAAGCAACUGUUUAGCAAAAACACAGGUCUCUGCUAAAGCGUAAGCUGAUGUAUAGGGGCUGACGCCUGCCCGGUGCUGGAAGGUUAAGGGGAACACUUAGCGCAAGCGAAGGUGUGAACUUAAGCCCCAGUAAACGGCGGCCGUAACUAUAACGGUCCUAAGGUAGCGAAAUUCCUUGUCAGGUAAGUUCUGACCCGCACGAAUGGCGUAAUGACUUGGGCACUGUCUCAACUGUAAAUCCGGCGAAGUUGUAGUGCGAGUGAAGAUGCUCGCUACCCGCGAUUGGACGGAAAGACCCCGUAGAGCUUUACUGUAGCUUAGCAUUGAGUUUUGGUAUUGUCUGUACAGGAUAGGUGGGAGACUAGGAAACCAGGGCGUCAGCCUUGGUGGAGUCAACCUUGGGAUACCACCCUGACAGUACUGAAAUUCUAACUGGCGGCCAUGAAUCUGGUCACAGGACAUUGUUAGGUGGGCAGUUUGACUGGGGCGGUCGCCUCCUAAAAAGUAACGGAGGCGCCCAAAGGUUCCCUCAGAACGGUCGGAAAUCGUUCGAAGAGUGCAAAGGCAGAAGGGAGCCUGACUGCGACACCCACAAGUGGAGCAGGGACGAAAGUCGGGCUUAGUGAUCCGGUGGUACCUCGUGGGAGGGCCAUCGCUCAACGGAUAAAAGCUACCUCGGGGAUAACAGGCUGAUCUCCCCCAAGAGUCCACAUCGACGGGGAGGUUUGGCACCUCGAUGUCGGCUCGUCGCAUCCUGGGGCUGAAGUAGGUCCCAAGGGUUGGGCUGUUCGCCCAUUAAAGCGGCACGCGAGCUGGGUUCAGAACGUCGUGAGACAGUUCGGUCCCUAUCCGUCGCGGGCGUAGGAAAUUUGAGAGGAGCUGUCCUUAGUACGAGAGGACCGGGAUGGACUGACCUCUGGUGUACCAGUUGUUCCGCCAGGAGCACAGCUGGGUA
rnacentral:rRNA from 1 species